UACGUAGGGUGCGAGCGUUGUCCGGAAUUAUUGGGUGUAAAGAGCUCGUAGGCGGUGUGUCACGUCGGCCGUGAAAACUUGCAGCUUAACUGUGGGCGUGCGGUCGAUACGGGCAUCACUGGAGUUCGGCAGGGGAGACUGGAAUUCCUGGUGUAGCGGUGAAAUGCGCAGAUAUCAGGAGGAACACCGGUGGCGAAGGCGGGUCUCUGGGCCGAUACUGACGCUGAGGAGCGAAAGCGUGGGGAGCAAACAGG
rnacentral:rRNA from 1 species